rnacentral:rRNA from 1 species
UGGGGAAUAUUGCACAAUGGGCGCAAGCCUGAUGCAGCCAUGCCGCGUGUAUGAAGAAGGCCUUCGGGUUGUAAAGUACUUUCAGCGGGGAGGAAGGGAGUAAAGUUAAUACCUUUGCUCAUUGACGUUACCCGCAGAAGACGCACCGGCUAACUCCGUGCCAGCAGCCGCGGUAAUACGGAGGGUGCAAGCGUUAGUCGGAAUUACUGGGCGUAAAGCGCACGCAGGCGGUUUGUUAAGUCAGAUGUGAAAUCCCCGGGCUCAACCUGGGAAAGGCAUCUGAUACUGGCAAGCUUGAGACUCGUAGAGGGGGGUAGAAUUCCAGGUGUAGCGGUGAAAUGCGUAGAGAUCUGGAGGAAUACCGGUGGCGAAGGCGGCCCCCUGGACGAAGACUGACGCUCAGGUGCGAAAGCGUGGGGAGCAAACGGG